UACGUAGGGUGCAAGCGUUAAUCGGAAUUACUGGGCGUAAAGCGUGCGCAGGCGGUUAUGCAAGACAGAGGUGAAAUCCCCGGGCUCAACCUGGGAACUGCCUUUGUGACUGCAUAGCUAGAGUACGGUAGAGGGGGAUGGAAUUCCGCGUGUAGCAGUGAAAUGCGUAGAUAUGCGGAGGAACACCGAUGGCGAAGGCAAUCCCUUGGACCUGUACUGACGCUCAUGCACGAAAGCGUGGGGAGCAAACAGG
rnacentral:rRNA from 1 species